AGGUUCUGCUUCCCUCAAACUUAGGAAAGGGCUUCAGAUGUGGAGCAGCCUAAAAGAAUGACACAUGCCCACUCUAAUUAGCUGGCCAAAUUAGUUCUACAGAAGAGAAGUACCUUGGGAUUUCGGAGCAGAAAGUGAUGAUUCUGAGGAGGCUUUAGAGGAGGGGAGAUUUGAUCAAGUCUUGAAGGAUGAGAAAGUUGGUAGGGUUGUAGGUAGGGAUAGGAGAAGGAUUUCGAGAGACACAUAUGGAAUGACAAUAUUAAGAAUGCUGAACUGGGGAAAACAAAUGCAAGCGCUGUGCUAGCAGGAAGGUCUGUGAAGUUUGCAAUAAAGCCAUUAUGAAGUCAAGAAUGGAGGUUCCAUUUUUAAAGAACUCAGAGGGGGUAGAUCUUGAUUGACAUCUCAUCUGGGGUCACCUGGUCUUCAACUGAGAGAUCUUUUGGUUCGCCACGGAUGCCCCUUGCAGUUAUGGAAGUUCACUCUUUGAGAGAGAGAUAAAUAAACAUUAAAAUGUAAAGAAAAAAAAAAUCAGCAAUGGAAGGAAAAAGGAACAAAAAGCAAUCCAUUGGCGUCAAGCUUGACUGGACCACUCCACUGCUCUGCUGCCGUUAGUGAACCUGACCCUGCAGCAGGAGUCACAGACUCACCACUCACCUCAAGUCCUCACUCCCUGGACCCUCAAUCUACACAUCACUUUGUCUUUUAUUUCCCUGAGAAAUACAGGCCAUCAGUUUGCAGAUCCCUCCUUUCCCCUUACCCUGCAAAUCUCCAUCUAUUUGGAAAAGUGUGCCUCCUACAUUCCAAAGCUAACCCCUCCUCCUCUGCCACUAAUAUCAGCCCUACCUGCCUUCUUCUGUAACUUGCUCCAUUAAUUCCCUCCCCUCUCCCCCAGGUCUCCCUGCCUAUGAACAUAUUCAAGGACAUCAUAUCUUAAAAACAAACAAAUAUCAGGCACAAUGGCUCACACCUGUAAUCCCAGCACUUUGAGAGGUCAAGGCAGGAGAAUCACUUGAAUCCAGGGGUUCAAGACCAGCCUGGGAAACAUAGGGAGACCCUAUCUCUACAAAAAAUAUUUUUUAAAAAAAUUAGCCAGGUGUGGUGGUGUGCACCUGUAGUCCCAACUACUCAGAAGGCUGGGGUGGGAGAAAUAUUUCAGCCCAGGACGUCACUGUGCACAAUUGCUUUACUUUUUUUUCCCUUGGUAUAGACUUGUUGAAGAGUAAGCCUUCAUGUACUGUUUCCUCACUUUACAUUCACUCUCAACUGGAGACAAUAUAGAGUCUUCGCAGAUGCAGCUUUCUCCAGACCAACAAUGUGGUUAGACAUCUGGUUUUUCAUUGUUGUUGUUUGAUUUCUCUGACUAGCUUCCCUGACCAGAGGUCGUUUUGAGUUUCCUUCUCUGGAAUUUGACCACUGAGCAGAGACACAUAGGAGAGAAGACGUGAAUGCUGAGUCAUCAAUCAGCAUCACUGGGAAGAAAAAGCCUCUCAGUUUCUUCUGCUGGGACUCCCAGAGCUGGAGUAUUUUCUGCUCUUCCUAAGGCCUGAAUCUCACCUUGUCACCCAGGCUGGAGUGCAAUGGCAUAAUCUCAGCUCACUGCAACCUCUGUCUCCCAGGCUCAAAUGAUUCUCCUGCCUCAGCCUCCUGAGUAGCUGGGAUUACAGGCGCCCAUGGACUACCAGCUUUUUAAGUAGACUUUUUAGCCAAAGGCCAAGGGAAACUACCCUCUUCCUACUGGGGUUCAAAUUGAUUAAAAUGGUUUGCUUUGACUUUU
rnacentral:lncRNA from 1 species